UGUGUCCACCAGCCUUCAGGCGAGGAAGCAACUUAUCAAGUAGAACCAAUUUUCCUGCGGAGCGCACCAAGGCCUGAAGCUCCUGUUUCAGAAUGUAAAGGUUUGAAGUCUGGUGCUCUUCAGGUCAACAAAACAAACUGGCAGCUGGCCACCACUGACCAUCCACCUGAGGAACCCAUGAUUUCUUGUAAAUAAAUAUA